CGUAGGGGCGAAGCGUUGUCCGGAAUUAUUGGGCGUAAAGCGCGCGCAGGCGGCCUUGUAAGUCUGUCGUUUAAACUCGGAGCUCAACUUCGAGUCGCGAUGGAAACUGCAAAGCUUGAGUGCAGAAGAGGAAAGUGGAAUUCCACGUGUAGCGGUGAAAUGCGUAGAGAUGUGGAGGAACACCAGUGGCGAAGGCGACUUUCUGGGCUGUAACUGACGCUGAGGCGCGAAAGCGUGGGAGCAAACAGGAUU
rnacentral:rRNA from 1 species